GAUGAACGCUAGCUACAGGCUUAACACAUGCAAGUCGAGGGACCGGCGCACGGGUGAGUAACACGUAUCCAACCUGCCCUUUACUCGGGGAUAGCCUUUCGAAAGAAAGAUUAAUACCCGAUAUUAAGGCUGGGGAUGCGUUCCAUUAGGUUGGUGGUGAGGUAACGGCCCGCCAAGCCUUCGAUGGAUAGGGGUUCUGAGAGGAAGGUCCCCUGCAUUGGAACAGAGACACGGACCAAAAUCGUACGGAGGGCAGGGGUAAUGAAUAUAGUGCGAGGGGCGUUAGCCUGACCCAGCCAAGUGGCGGGAAGAAUGAAGGCUUAGGAGUGGUAAACUACUGUUGUAUAAGAAUAGGUAUUAUAUGAAGAAGGAUCGGCUAACUCCGUGCCAGCCGCCGCGGUAAUAC
rnacentral:rRNA from 1 species